rnacentral:rRNA from 1 species
GACGAACGCUGGCGGCGUGCUUAACACAUGCAAGUCGUACGGUAAGGCCCUUUCGGGGGUACACGAGUGGCGAACGGGUGAGUAACACGUGAGUAACCUGCCCACAACUUUGGGAUAACGCUAGGAAACUGGUGCUAAUACUGGAUAUGUGCUCCUGCUGCAUGGUGGGGGGUGGAAAGCUCCGGCGGUUGUGGAUGGACGCGCGGCCUAUCAGCUUGUUGGUGGGGUAGUGGCGUACCAAGGCGGCGACGGGUAGCCGGCUUGAGAGGGUGACCGGCCACAUUGGGACUGAGAUACGGCCCAGACUCCUACGGGAGGCAGCAGUGGGGAAGAUUGCACAAUGGGCGCAAGCCAGAUGCAGCAACGCCGCGUGCGGGAUGACGGCCUUCGGGUUGUAAUCCGCUUUCAGCAGGGACGAAGCUUUUUGUGACGGUACCUGCAGAAGAAGCACCGGCUAACUACGUG